UACGUAGGGGGCAAGCGUUGUCCGGAAUCAUUGGGCGUAAAGCGCGCGUAGGCGGCCCUGUAAGUCCGUUGUGAAAGUCAAAGGCUCAACCUUUGAAAGCCGAUGGAUACUGCAGGGCUAGAGUCCGGAAGAGGAGAGUGGAAUUCCUGGUGUAGCGGUGAAAUGCGCAGAUAUCAGGAGGAACACCCGUGGCGAAAGCGGCUCUCUGGGACGGUACUGGCGCUGAGACGCGAAAGCGUGGGGAGCAAACAGG
rnacentral:rRNA from 1 species